UGUCCGACUCCUCCCCGUAGCUGUUGUUGACAGUGGACACAGCCUGUCUUUUCUCCUCCUGGCACCCUUGGCUUGUUUAAAGUGUAUGCUAAGACUGCUAAUCUCUCCGUAUUCCCUGUAUCUCCGCUGUAUCUCCGCUGAACGGCAAUUGCCUGAAUACCGCAUACCCGUGCUGGUGAAGGGAUAUUAGAGCUCACUUCCAUUUCUUCGGAUUCUCUCUCUCUCACUCGUGAGCGAUCCGUUUCGGCUGUAGUCGCAGUCCUGUUUGUCUUCCCUCCGUCAUACUACGAGAACGCUGUAUUUUCCAGCUGAUCUGAUGGAUUGUCGCUGUCUGGUUUCUUUAUAUCAUUGUUUAGUGUAUUUUUGGGUUGCCAUUCAAUAAUUUGUAAGGGGAAUAUAAUUUUGCGGUUGCUCCUUUCAAGUUUGUUUACAUCAUUAUUGGUAUUGAGUUAAUUUGUUUAUUGUGCCCAAAAACUGUGUAUUGUCCUGGAUUUGAUUUGACAGGACUUUAUUCCUGCCUGUGCUUGUGAUUAUACCAUAAUCAAAUUGUGAUUUAUUGUACUGUUUUGAGAUUUGUUUCUUUUUUUGU